AUGGGGGGCCGAAAGUCUCCGCCUUCGUCGCUGCUGUGCGCCGCGGCAACUACCGGACCGGAGAAAAACAAUGAGAAAUGAAGAGCUAAUGUGGCUGGAGGAAUUCUUAUUGAAGUAGCAUGUUUAACAUUGCCGAUUGUUAAACUAACUUUCCCUCGUGUUAUUGUACUCCAACUCAAAGUUACUACUUGAUACAAUUGGUCAGGGACUAUGGAAUAAAAUGAAGCUUUUUGAUGCAGAACAGUUUACUAUCAGUGCUUUGGCUGGCACUGCAACCGAGGUGAUUGUUUCUUGGCCUAUUCACCAUGUAAUUUGGUCUGUUUUCUAUUUAGUUAAUCAAUAGUUUUUCAAUUUUGGAUAGAAAACUCAGUUAAUGGGAUAAGUUGGGAUUUGGGAUUAGACUGAGCAACUUGCCUACUUGCUGUUGUGAUACUAUGCAGGCAUGAUGCAGAAGCUAA